GCACCUACUAAGUGCUAAGCAUUAUCUUGG
rnacentral:piRNA from 1 species